rnacentral:SRP_RNA from 1 species
GCUGGGCAUAGUGGUGCGUGCCUGUAGUCCCAGCUACUUGGGAGGCUGAGGCAGGAGAAUCGCUUGAACCCGGGAGGCGGAGGCUGCAGUGAGCUGAGAUCAUGCCCCACUGCACUGCAGCCUGGGUGACAGAGUGAGACUCUGUCUCAA